GACCAAAGAGGGGGACCUUCGGGCCUCUUGCCAUCGGAUGUGCCCAGAUGGGAUUAGCUAGUAGGUGGGGUAACGGCUCACCUAGGCGACGAUCCCUAGCUGGUCUGAGAGGAUGACCAGCCACACUGGAACUGAGACACGGUCCAGACUCCUACGGGAGGCAGCAGUGGGGAAUAUUGCACAAUGGGCGCAAGCCUGAUGCAGCCAUGCCGCGUGUAUGAAGAAGGCCUUCGGGUUGUAAAGUACUUUCAGCGGGGAGGAAGGGAGUAAAGUUAAUACCUUUGCUCAUUGACGUUACCCGCAGAAGAAGCACCGGCUAACUCCGUGCCAGCAGCCGCGGUAAUACGGAGGGUGCAAGCGUUAAUCGGAAUUACUGGGCGUAAAGCGCACGCAGGCGGUUUGUUAAGUCAGAUGUGAAAUCCCCGGGCUCAACCUGGGAACUGCAUCUGAUACUGGCAAGCUUGAGUC
rnacentral:rRNA from 1 species